AGUGCCAUCGUCAGACUAAUAGUGUUGAUUGCGGAUAUUAUGUGAUGAAGUUCAUGAAAGAUAUCAUCACUCACCAACAACUUGUGAUCCCAACGAAAUGUUUUGAAGAUUGUCAGUUCGUUUCCUACAAUGAAGAGCAAUUGCGUGAAGUUAAAGAUGAGUGGGCCGCUUAUGUUUUUUACAAUUGUUUUUAGUAUUUAAUCUAUUGGAUAGUUAUCUAUGAGAUGGUGGUAGAUGAAGUUAAGGACGUGGUUGAGAUAUUACGCACUUUAGAAAUUGCUUCGAAUUUAUGAAGCUUUUGAUAUUUAGAUAUAUUGGUUUUGAUAUGCUGAAGUUCAGAAAAUGUUUAUUUUAUGGCUGACUUGAUAUGCUGAAGUUCAGAAAAUGUUGAUCUUUUUUGUUUGGAAGACUCAAAUGGGGAGAGGGUCCUUAUGAUUUGGAGACUCAAGACACAUUUCUAUUGCAGAAACUCAUUUAUGGGAGUUUUUUUUUUUUUGCUGUCAUGGAAUUACUGUCCAUAUGCUUGCUAUAAGAAUAGAGGUUCUGUUUA